ACUUCCGGUGUCGCGCGGCGGCUCCCGGCAGGAGGGAGAGGGCACACCCCCAGCCCCAGGCCAGGCUGCGAGGGCCGCGGACCCAAGCCGGGAAGCACCUUGGGCGGACGAGCCGCGCGUCCCGCAGCCAUGGAGCAGGACGACCCGGCCGAGGCGCUGACGGAGCUGCGCGAGCGGCGGCUGGGCGCGCUGGAGCUGCUGCAAGCGGCGGCCGGCUCGGGCUUGGCAGCCUACGCGGUGUGGGCGCUGCUGCUCCAGCCCGGCUUCCGGCGCGUGCCGCUGCGGCUGCAGGUGCCCUACGUCGGCGCGAGCGCGCGGCAGGUGGAGCACGUGUUGUCGCUGCUGCGAGGCCGCCCCGGAAAAACGGUGGAUCUGGGCUCUGGCGACGGCAGGAUCGUGCUGGCGGCCCACAGGUGCGGCCUCCGCCCGGCCGUGGGCUACGAAUUGAACCCCUGGCUGGUGGCGCUGGCGCGGCUGCACGCCUGGAGGGCCGGCUGUGCCGGCAGCGUCUGCUAUCGCCGCAAAGAUCUCUGGAAGGUAACCUGGGGCUCUCUGGCCACCCGCUGACAACAACCCAAGGUGCGGCUGACACCUGCGAGGGCUGGGGGCCGGGACUCGGAAGCUGCGAUGACCCGGUGCCCACCAGGCCUCUCCCCUGCUGGGGCGACUUCUCUUCCGGCAGGUGAGCCUGAGGGACUGCCGCAACGUGUCUGUGUUCCUGGCCCCUAGCGUGGUAGGUCCGGGGUUGCCAGCCCCGCUGGGAAGCCCCAGCCGCACCCUAGGGUGUUUGCUGCUUUGAGGCCUUGGCCUGCCCGGUGGGUGCUAGGCUUGGGGCUGGGGGGGUGAGCGCGGCUGUUUUCUACCGGCCCCGCCCCUGCCGCCUGUACUCUGCUGUUCUCUCCCUCAGCUCC
rnacentral:sRNA from 1 species